CAGGACGAACGCUGGCGGCAUGCCUAACACAUGCAAGUCGAACGGAGUAUCAGGGGCUUGCUCUUGAUACUAGUGGCGAACGGGUGAGUAACGCGUGAGCAACCUGCCUUCAAAACCGGGAUAACACAGAGAAAUUUGUGCUAAUACCGGAUAAGACCACAGUGUCGCAUGACACAGUGGUAAAAAACUCAGGUGAUUGAAGAGGGGCUCGCGACCCAUUAGCUUGUUGGCGGGAUAACAGCCCACCAAGGCGACGAUGGGUAGCCGACUUGAGAGAGUGAUCGGCCACACUGGAACUGAGACACGGUCCAGACUCCUACGGGAGGCAGCAGUGGGGAAUAUUGGGCAAUGGAGGAAACUCUUUAACCCCCAGCAAUGCCGCGUGAGUGAAGAAGGUCGUAAGAUUGUAAAGCUCUUUAAUUGGGGACGAAGACAGUGACGGUACCCAAAGAAUAAGCCCCGGCUAACUACGUGCCAGCAGCCGC
rnacentral:rRNA from 1 species